UGGCUAAGAUGGUAAAGCGUCUGCCUACAAUGCGGGAGACCCAGGUUCGAUCCCUGG
rnacentral:tRNA from 1 species